CCUACGGGUGGCAGCAGUGGGGGAUCUUGCACAAUGGGGGAAACCCUGAUGCAGCGACGCCGCGUGGGUGAAGAAGCGCCUCGGCGCGUAAAGCCCUGUCAGCAGGGAAGCAAAUGACGGUACCUGAAGAAGAAGCCCCGGCUAACUACGUGCCAGCAGCCGCGGUAAUACGUAGGGGGCAAGCGUUAUCCGGAUUUACUGGGUGUAAAGGGGGCGCAGACGGCGAUGCAAGCCAGGAGUGAAAGCCCGGGGCCCAACCCCGGGACUGCACUUGGAACUGCGUGGCUAGAGUGCAGGAGGGGCAGGCGGAAUUCCUGGUGUAGCGGUGAAAUGCGUAGAUAUCAGGAGGAACACCGGUGGCGAAGGUGGCCUGCUGGACUGCAACUGACGUUGAGGCCCGAAAGCGUGGGGAGCAAACAGGAUUAGAUACCCCAGUAGUC
rnacentral:rRNA from 1 species